GACCUGCACUUUGGCUUCGGGAAAUAUGGGGCUGGGUCUAUGCUGACAGGAGCCCACAGCUUCAUCAGGACCCACAGUGAGUUUUCUGGUGGAUGUGAGGCCAUGUCUAGGCUGACAGGAGCCCCCGGCCACCUGAGGACUUGCUGUGAGGCUUCCAGAGGAUGUGAGGCAUAGUCCACAGUGACAGGAGACGCGGCGUCCUCUGGACCCACUGACUAUGACACAGGAACACGUGGGGCCAUGUCCGCACUCACAGGAGCCUGGCUUCCUCAGGACCCCCUGGAGGACUCUGGAGGCGCCGUUGGGGGCCACGUCCAUAUCAGAACGGACUCCUCUGAACCACAGGGACCCACUGUGAAGUUUUUGGAAGAUUUGGGGCCACAUCUAUGCUGACAGGAGCCGCCAGCCUCCUCAGGUCUUAUGGUGAGGCUGAGGAAAAUGUGGGGCCACGUCAAUCCUGACAGGACCUGGACUUUGGCUUCUGGAAAUAUGGGGCUGCGUCUAUGCUGACAGGAGCCCACAGCCUCCUCAGGAUGCGCCGUGAGUUUUCUGGGGGAUGUGGGGCCAUGUCCAGGCUGACAGGAGCCCCCGGCCACCUGAGGACCUGCUUAAGGCUUCCAGAGGAUGUGAGGCAUAGUCCACAGUGACAGGAGACCCAGCAUCCUCAGGACCCGCUGACUAUGACUCAGGAACACGUGGGGCCACGUCCGCACUCACAGGAGCCCUGCUUCCUCAGGACCCCCUGGAGGACUCUGGAGGCUCCGUUGGGGGCCACGUCCACAUCAGAAGGGACUCCUCAGAACCACAGGGUAAGUGAAUGGGUAGAAUGAAUGGUAGGGUCAGGGGAGGGGAGGCAGUUGGUGGUUAGGCUUAGGUUAGAUGUUAGGUGUUUGUGAUUAAGCUUAUGGUUACGGAUUACAGGUUAGGGUGAGGGAUAAGGGUAAGGGUCAGUAGUUAGGAG
rnacentral:lncRNA from 12 species